GCGUCGGUGGUAUAAGGCGAGCAUCGCUACUCGGAAAGCAGAAGAGGUGGGUUCGAGUCCCGCCUGGCGCU
rnacentral:tRNA from 1 species